CCUGAAGGUACGUAGGUAGGGUUUUGCCCAAAUUUGGAAUUGUUGGUGAGCUUUCCUGUACGAAGAUGAUUGGCUGACGACCGAUAGAAAACGAAUCGGCUUCAUUUUCUCUGUGAUACUUGUUAAGAGAAGGAAAUGGUUUCCACAUAUUUUUACCGGACUCUACAAAAAAUCUUCAUACAAUAUAUUAAUAAAGGUGCAUAUUUAGAUGCACAGCCUAAUAAUAGAUCAGAUCCACCAUGGCUUAAGAAGGACAUUAUAGAGAAAUAUACUGAUCAACUAGAAUCUACAAAUGGCCCAGUAGUUUAUAAAAAUGGAGAAGUUUUAGAAUAUAAAGCCAACAUGGAGCUACUGAUUCAACACAAAAUACCUUGUGUAAUAAUCACUAAGUUUGAUGCUUUGAAAUUUGUAAAUUUUAUUCCAAAUGGACUCGGCUGUUAUUAUGGUUACGGUUAUGUCUUGACUGCUUUACAUGUAGUUAAGCCUCCACGUUUCGGGAAGUCUAAAAUACUCAUUGCUUUCCCUACUGAAGACUUUAUACUGGUCUACAAGGCUGAUUUUAAUCAAUCUUGUAACACUGAUGCAGAUCGAGAUCUGGCUUUUGUUAAGUUACGGGGCAACACUCAUCCACUUGGUGAUGGUUUACAUAAUCAGAUUGCUAAUAUGAAUGUAAAUGACAAUAUUUACUUUCAUACCCGGGCCCUUAAUGGGAAUUUUCAGAAGCAGGAGGGUGAAGUAUAUAAAAAGAUGACGAAACCUGAUAUGUUUGCAAUAUCUGUAGCAGGUAAACCUGGAGACAGUGGCUCACCUAUUUUCAACUCGAAACAUGAACUGGUUGCCAUAUAUCGAGGUGGCUUUCAGAAUUCUGAAUUUGGCCACUGUUCUAAAAUUCCUCAAAACUUUACACCCUGGGUCCAAAGUCUUAGACUUAGUUCAUACUUCUUGCAUAAAUGGCAGUUGUUCCUAUGCUUUUUGAGUAAAAUUGGUGAUGAACCCCUGUAGCCACUUAUCUGAUCUCAAAUUUCUGGAAAAAAAAAAAAAAUUUAACCAAAAAAACCUGCUCCUGCUUUUUUCCCCUCUCAUGGCUUGUCUCCCUCUUUCUAUCUUAGGUCGCCUUGCCUGAGCAUUUUGUUUUUCUGAGUGUGUGACUAUGUGACUGUGUGUGUGUGUGUGUGUGUGUACGUAACAAACACGUGAGCCAAAGCGAACCACUGUACAGAAGCCUUCUAUACUUUUGAAAGUUUUGAAAAGUUGUUUAAAAGCUUGCGUCAAAGUGCAAACCCGCUGAGUUUCACCUGAUGACAGCUGCUGGCAUGAGCCGCCCUCUAAACUCUUCCUCUGUGUCUGAAAGACAUGGACUCCUGGUCUGGAUGAUGUGGAAGAUGAACCUGGAGAUGCUCAAGAGUGUCUGGCUCACGUGUCUCUCACACACACAUACACACACACACACAGAACACCAGAACACUCAGGCUUGGCUCACUAAUACAGAAAGAGUCAGAACACCUUGGUAGAUAAGUAGAUCACCGUUAUUAACUCUCUCUUAUUACUUAUAGGGCCAUUUUCAGGUUUGUGUAUCAGUUUCUCUAUUACAUGGCAAUUUCUCAAGUUCUCAAAUCAGUUGCUUAAACAUUUUCUUUAACCCUCCUGGAAAUCUGAUGCCGCAAAAUGUGUAGUUGUCCCCAUUAAAUUAGACAAAUUGGACAAAAAAUGACGUGAAAAAAAAUGUCAAACAUAUAUUUAGAGACAUUAAACAAAAAAACAAACAAAAAAGGUAUUUUAUAAGAAUUUUGAUUUUGCCUAAACAAAAACAGUAUACAAAAUUAAAAUCUCCCUUGCUAAAAUUAAACUACAUUACAAAAACAUAGUUUAUUUUUUUUUUAAAUAUAAUAUUAUUAUUAUUAUUAUUAUUAUUAUUAUUAUUAUUAUUAUGUUGAGGAAGGCAGGUCCAUGUAUGUAUGAUCAUCUGGAAACCAUUUCCUCCUCUAUUAUACCUGACGGCUACCCAGGGUGAGGUGCUCAAAUUUAAAUUUUCUAGAAAAAAAAUCCUCACCUUUACUUAACUGGAUAGAAGACACCUGGAUGCAGAAGAUUUCUCUCUACAAAAUGCUGCUGUAAUCGUCAUCACUGCAGUCGUCACUUCGGCACAUUUAGUCCAUUUAGUGCAUUACUCUUCUCCAUCUGUGGACUGUAAUGAUUCUAAUCGCAUCAUCUGGUGUCACCCAUAAGAGGAUGGGGUCCCUUUUGAGCCUGGUUCCUCUCAAGGUUUCUUCCUCAUGUCAUCUCAGGGAGUUGUUCCUUGCCACCGUCGCCUCAGGCUUGCUCAUAAGGGAUUUUAAUCUAUAUCCAGAAUCCUGUAACAGAAAAAGAACUGUACGAAUAAAUUUAAGCUGAAUUGA